rnacentral:rRNA from 1 species
AUGAACGCUAGCUACAGGCUUAACACAUGCAAGUCGAGGGGCAGCAUGAACUUAGCUUGCUAAGUUUGAUGGCGACCGGCGCACGGGUGAGUAACACGUAUCCAACCUGCCGAUGACUCGGGGAUAGCCUUUCGAAAGAAAGAUUAAUACCCGAUGGCAUAGUUCUUCCGCAUGGUAGAACUAUUAAAGAAUUUCGGUCAUCGAUGGGGAUGCGUUCCAUUAGGUUGUUGGCGGGGUAACGGCCCACCAAGCCUUCGAUGGAUAGGGGUUCUGAGAGGAAGGUCCCCCACAUUGGAACUGAGACACGGUCCAAACUCCUACGGGAGGCAGCAGUGAGGAAUAUUGGUCAAUGGACGAGAGUCUGAACCAGCCAAGUAGCGUGAAGGAUGACUGCCCUAUGGGUUGUAAACUUCUUUUAUACGGGAAUAAAGUGAGGCACGUGUGCCUUUUUGUAUGUACCGUAUGAAUAAGGAUCGGCUAACUCCGUGCCAGCAGCCGCGGUAAUACGGAGGAUCCGAGCGUUAUCCGGAUUUAUUGGGUUUAAAGGGAGCGUAGGCGGACGCUUAAGUCAGUUGUGAAAGUUUGCGGCUCAACCGUAAAAUUGCAGUUGAUACUGGGUGUCUUGAGUACAGUAGAGGCAGGCGGAAUUCGUGGUGUAGCGGUGAAAUGCUUAGAUAUCACGAAGAACUCCGAUUGCGAAGGCAGCCUGCUGGACUGUAACUGACGCUGAUGCUCGAAAGUGUGGGUAUCAAACAGGAUUAGAUACCCUGGUAGUCCACACAGUAAACGAUGAAUACUCGCUGUUUGCGAUAUACAGUAAGCGGCCAAGCGAAAGCGUUAAGUAUUCCACCUGGGGAGUACGCCGGCAACGGUGAAACUCAAAGGAAUUGACGGGGGCCCGCACAAGCGGAGGAACAUGUGGUUUAAUUCGAUGAUACGCGAGGAACCUUACCCGGGCUUGAAUUGCAACUGAAUGAUGUGGAGACAUGUCAGCCGCAAGGCAGUUGUGAAGGUGCUGCAUGGUUGUCGUCAGCUCGUGUCGUGAGAUGUUGGGUUAAGUCCCGCAACGAGCGCAACCCCUAUCUUUAGUAGCCAGCGGUCAGGCCGGGAACUCUAGAGAGACUGCCAGGGAUAACCUGGAGGAAGGUGGGGAUGACGUCAAAUCAGCACGGCCCUUACGUCCGGGGCUACACACGUGUUACAAUGGGGGGUACAGAAGGCAGCUACACGGCGACGUGAUGCUAAUCCCUAAAGCCUCUCUCAGUUCGGAUUGGAGUCUGCAACCCGACUCCAUGAAGCUGGAUUCGCUAGUAAUCGCGCAUCAGCCACGGCGCGGUGAAUACGUUCCCGGGCCUUGUACACACCGCCCGUCAAGCCAUGAAAGCCGGGGGUACCUGAAGUGCGUAACCGCAAGGAGCGCCCUAGGGUAAAACUGGUGAUUGGGGCU